UUAAGCGACUAAGCGUACACGGUGGAUGCCCUGGCAGUCAGAGGCGAUGAAGGACGUGCUAAUCUGCGAUAAGCGUCGGUAAGGUGAUAUGAACCGUUAUAACCGGCGAUUUCCGAAUGGGGAAACCCAGUGUGUUUCGACACACUAUCAUUAACUGAAUCCAUAGGUUAAUGAGGCGAACCGGGGGAACUGAAACAUCUAAGUACCCCGAGGAAAAGAAAUCAACCGAGAUUCCCCCAGUAGCGGCGAGCGAACGGGGAGNCACAUAUUGUGAGCUCGAUGAGUAGGGCGGGACACGUGGUAUCCUGUCUGAAUAUGGGGGGACCAUCCUCCAAGGCUAAAUACUCCUGACUGACCGAUAGUGAACCAGUACCGUGAGGGAAAGGCGAAAAGAACCCCGGCGAGGGGAGUGAAAAAGAACCUGAAACCGUGUACGUACAAGCAGUGGGAGCACGCUUAGGCGUGUGACUGCGUACCUUUUGUAUAAUGGGUCAGCGACUUAUAUUCUGUAGCAAGGUUAACCGAAUAGGGGAGCCGAAGGGAAACCGAGUCUUAACUGGGCGUUAAGUUGCAGGGUAUAGACCCGAAACCCGGUGAUCUAGCCAUGGGCAGGUUGAAGGUUGGGUAACACUAACUGGAGGACCGAACCGACUAAUGUUGAAAAAUUAGCGGAUGACUUGUGGCUGGGGGUGAAAGGCCAAUCAAACCGGGAGAUAGCUGGUUCUCCCCGAAAGCUAUUUAGGUAGCGCCUCGUGAAUUCAUCUCCGGGGGUAGAGCACUGUUUCGGCAAGGGGGUCAUCCCGACUUACCAACCCGAUGCAAACUGCGAAUACCGGAGAAUGUUAUCACGGGAGACACACGGCGGGUGCUAACGUCCGUCGUGAAGAGGGAAACAACCCAGACCGCCAGCUAAGGUCCCAAAGUCAUGGUUAAGUGGGAAACGAUGUGGGAAGGCCCAGACAGCCAGGAUGUUGGCUUAGAAGCAGCCAUCAUUUAAAGAAAGCGUAAUAGCUCACUGGUCGAGUCGGCCUGCGCGGAAGAUGUAACGGGGCUAAACCAUGCACCGAAGCUGCGGCAGCGACGCUUAUGCGUUGUUGGGUAGGGGAGCGUUCUGUAAGCCUGCGAAGGUGUGCUGUGAGGCAUGCUGGAGGUAUCAGAAGUGCGAAUGCUGACAUAAGUAACGAUAAAGCGGGUGAAAAGCCCGCUCGCCGGAAGACCAAGGGUUCCUGUCCAACGUUAAUCGGGGCAGGGUGAGUCGACCCCUAAGGCGAGGCCGAAAGGCGUAGUCGAUGGGAAACAGGUUAAUAUUCCUGUACUUGGUGUUACUGCGAAGGGGGGACGGAGAAGGCUAUGUUGGCCGGGCGACGGUUGUCCCGGUUUAAGCGUGUAGGCUGGUUUUCCAGGCAAAUCCGGAAAAUCAAGGCUGAGGCGUGAUGACGAGGCACUACGGUGCUGAAGCAACAAAUGCCCUGCUUCCAGGAAAAGCCUCUAAGCAUCAGGUAACAUCAAAUCGUACCCCAAACCGACACAGGUGGUCAGGUAGAGAAUACCAAGGCGCUUGAGAGAACUCGGGUGAAGGAACUAGGCAAAAUGGUGCCGUAACUUCGGGAGAAGGCACGCUGAUAUGUAGGUGAAGUCCCUUGCGGAUGGAGCUGAAAUCAGUCGAAGAUACCAGCUGGCUGCAACUGUUUAUUAAAAACACAGCACUGUGCAAACACGAAAGUGGACGUAUACGGUGUGACGCCUGCCCGGUGCCGGAAGGUUAAUUGAUGGGGUCAGCGCAAGCGAAGCUCUUGAUCGAAGCCCCGGUAAACGGCGGCCGUAACUAUAACGGUCCUAAGGUAGCGAAAUUCCUUGUCGGGUAAGUUCCGACCUGCACGAAUGGCGUAAUGAUGGCCAGGCUGUCUCCACCCGAGACUCAGUGAAAUUGAACUCGCUGUGAAGAUGCAGUGUACCCGCGGCAAGACGGAAAGACCCCGUGAACCUUUACUAUAGCUUGACACUGAACAUUGAGCCUUGAUGUGUAGGAUAGGUGGGAGGCUUUGAAGUGUGGACGCCAGUCUGCAUGGAGCCGGCCUUGAAAUACCACCCUUUAAUGUUUGAUGUUCUAACGUGGACCCGUGAUCCGGGUUGCGGACAGUGUCUGGUGGGUAGUUUGACUGGGGCGGUCUCCUCCUAAAGAGUAACGGAGGAGCACGAAGGUUGGCUAAUCCUGGUCGGACAUCAGGAGGUUAGUGCAAUGGCAUAAGCCAGCUUGACUGCGAGCGUGACGGCGCGAGCAGGUGCGAAAGCAGGUCAUAGUGAUCCGGUGGUUCUGAAUGGAAGGGCCAUCGCUCAACGGAUAAAAGGUACUCCGGGGAUAACAGGCUGAUACCGCCCAAGAGUUCAUAUCGACGGCGGUGUUUGGCACCUCGAUGUCGGCUCAUCACAUCCUGGGGCUGAAGUAGGUCCCAAGGGUAUGGCUGUUCGCCAUUUAAAGUGGUACGCGAGCUGGGUUUAGAACGUCGUGAGACAGUUCGGUCCCUAUCUGCCGUGGGCGCUGGAGAACUGAGGGGGGCUGCUCCUAGUACGAGAGGACCGGAGUGGACGCAUCACUGGUGUUCGGGUUGUCAUGCCAAUGGCACUGCCCGGUAGCUAAAUGCGGAAGAGAUAAGUGCUGAAAGCAUCUAAGCACGAAACUUGCCCCGAGAUGAGUUCUCCCUGACCCUUUAAGGGUCCUGAAGGAACGUUGAAGACGACGACGUUGAUAGGCCGGGUGUGUAAGCGCAGCGAUGCGUUGAGCUAACCGGUACUAAUGAACCGUGAGGCUUAACCUU
rnacentral:rRNA from 1 species